rnacentral:rRNA from 1 species
UACGUAGGGUGCAAGCGUUGUCCGGAAUUAUUGGGCGUAAAGAGCUCGUAGGCGGUUUGUCGCGUCGGCUGUGAAAACUCAGGGCUCAACCCUGAGCCUGCAGUCGAUACGGGCAGACUAGAGUAUGGCAGGGGAGACUGGAAUUCCUGGUGUAGCGGUGAAAUGCGCAGAUAUCAGGAGGAACACCGGUGGCGAAGGCGGGACUCUGGGCCGAUACUGACGCUGAGGAGCGAAAGCGUGGGGAGCAAACAGG